UACGUAGGGUGCGAGCGUUGUCCGGAAUUAUUGGGCGUAAAGGGCUCGUAGGCGGUCUGUUACGUCAGGAGUGAAAACUCGGGGCUCAACCCCGAGCCUGCUUCUGAUACGGGCAGACUGGAGGUAUGCAGGGGAGAACGGAAUUCCUGGUGUAGCGGUGAAAUGCGCAGAUAUCAGGAGGAACACCGAUGGCGAAGGCAGCUCACUGGGACGGUACUGACGCUGAGACGCGAAAGCGUGGGGAGCAAACAGG
rnacentral:rRNA from 1 species